GGAGAGGUGGCCGAGUGGUUUAAGGCGCACGCUUGGAAAGCGUGUGUACCCUUACCGGUACCGUGGGUUCGAAUCCCACCCUCUCCGCCA
rnacentral:tRNA from 1 species